AUACGGAGGGUGCGAGCGUUAAUCGGAAUUACUGGGCGUUAAGCGUGCGUAGGCGGUUUGCUAAGUCAGAUGUGAAAGCCCCGGGCUUAACCUGGGAACUGCAUUUGAUACUGGCAGACUAGAGUAUGAUAGAGGGGGGUAGAAUUCCUGGUGUAGCGGUGAAAUGCGUAGAUAUCAGGAGGAAUACCAGUGGCGAAGGCGGCCCCCUAGAUCAAUACUGACGCUGAGGUACGAAAGCGUGGGGAGCGAACAGGAUUAGAAACCCCAGUAGUCC
rnacentral:rRNA from 1 species